GACGAACGCUGGCGGCGUGCUUAGCACAUGCAAGUCGAACGGAAAGGCCCUGCUUUUGUGGGGUGCUCUAGUGGCGAACGGGUGAGUAACACGUGAGUAACCUGCCCUUGACUUUGGGAUAACUUCAGGAAACUGGGGCUAAUACCGGAUAGGAGCUCCUGCUGCAUGGUGGGGGUUGGAAAGUUUCGGCGGUUGGGGAUGGACUCGCGGCUUAUCAGCUUGUUGGGGGGGUAGUGGCUUACCAAGGCUUUGACGGGUAGCCGGCCUGAGAGGGUGACCGGCCACAUUGGGACUGAGAGACGGCCCAGACUCCUACGGGAGGCAGCAGUGGGGAAUAUUGCACAAUGGGCGGACGCCUGAGGCAGCAACGCCGCGUGCGGGAUGCCGGCCUUCGGGUUGUAAACCGAUUUCGCCUGUGACGAAGCGUGAGUGACGGUAAUGGGUAAAGAAGCACCGGCUAACUACGUG
rnacentral:rRNA from 1 species